rnacentral:rRNA from 1 species
UACGUAGGGUGCAAGCGUUGUCCGGAUUUAUUGGGCGUAAAGAGCUCGUAGGCGGUUUGUCGCGUCGGAUGUGAAAACCCAGGGCUCAACCCUGGGCCUGCAUUCGAUACGGGCAGACUAGAGUAUGGCAGGGGAGAUCGGAAUUCCUGGUGUAGCGGUGAAAUGCGCAGAUAUCAGGAGGAACACCGGUGGCGAAGGCGGAUCUCUGGGCCGAUACUGACGCUGAGGAGCGAAAGCGUGGGGAGCGAACAGG